rnacentral:rRNA from 1 species
AUUGAACGCUGGCGGCAGGCCUAACACAUGCAAGUCGAGCGAGCGGCGGCAGGGUGCGUAAUGUAUGGGGACUGCCCGAUAGAGGGGGAUAACUACUGGAAACGGUGGCUAAUACCGCAUACUAUCGGAUAACCCAUAUGGGAUUAGCUAGUAGGGGAGGUAAAGGCUCACCUAGGCGACGAUCUCUAGCUGGUUUGAGAGGAUGCUCAGCCACCCUGGGACUGAGACACGGCCCAGACUCGUACGGAGGCAGCAGUGGGGAAGAUUGCACAAUUGGCGCAAGCCUGUGGCAGCCAUGCGGCGUGUAUGAAGAAGGCCUGAGGGUUGUAAAGUACUUUCAGCGGGGAGGCGUUACCCGCAGAAGAAGUACCGGCUAACUCCGUGCCAGCAGCCGCGGUAAUAC